UAGGGAAUCUUCGGCAAUGGGGGGCAACCCUGACCGAGCAACGCCGCGUGAGUGAAGAAGGUUUUUCGGAUCGUAAAGCUCUGUUGUAAGUCAAGAACGAGUGUGAGAGUGGAAAGUUCACACUGUGACGGUAGCUUACCAGAAAGGGACGGCUAACUACGUGCCAGCAGCCGCGGUAAUACGUAGGUCCCGAGCGUUGUCCGGAUUUAUUGGGCGUAAAGCGAGCGCAGGCGGUUAGAUAAGUCUGAAGUUAAAGGCUGUGGCUUAACCAUAGUACGCUUUGGAAACUGUUUAACUUGAGUGCAAGAGGGGAGAGUGGAAUUCCAUGUGUAGCGGUGAAAUGCGUAGAUAUAUGGAGGAACACCGGUGGCGAAAGCGGCUCUCUGGCUUGUAACUGACGCUGAGGCUCGAAAGCGUGGGGAGCAAACAGGAUUAGAUACCCUGGUAGUCCACGCCGUAAACGAUGAGUGCUAGGUGUUAGACCCUUUCCGGGGUUUAGUGCCGCAGCUAACGCAUUAAGCACUCCGCCUGGGGAGUACGACCGCAAGGUUG
rnacentral:rRNA from 1 species